AUACCUAAGUUUGGGAUUUAAUUGACCUAGGUAUUUAAACCUAGACUUAUCGUUUCUCACGCACUCUUCCUUAAUUCGCCGACUCCAUGCUUCGCAUGGCGAUCUGCGAUGGAGCUCUUCACCGAGGAUCGGGACUCCGGCCGAUCAAUGUCCCUACGCCGGCGAGCUAAGGGGGACAUGGCAACUGGGCACAAGGACCUUCGCAUGCUCGUUGUCGGCGGGAUCGCACGGUCUAGGGAUUUCGGCGGCGACUCGAGGUGGGAAAGGCAAGUACUUCUACUAUGUAGGUAUGGCUUCUGUGAGGUAAGGUUUAGGAACUAGUAGAAGUCGAUCGUUCAUUUACGAAGAUUGAAUGUCUGUGAAUGGAUUUGAGAUUCCUUUUGGUCAUUGUUCCAUGGUGUUGUUGUUCUGUGUCCCUGCGAAUUUCAUGUUUGUCUUAAUGCCUGAAUGAGAUGCUCAAUGGUCGAAUGAAUUGUGAUGCGAAUUUUUUCCGGAAUGCCUGGUUUCGUCUCGUGAUGUUCUGGUUUCCGAUCCAGAUCUGAGCGCUCAUGAGUUGGUUCUGGUUUCGAUCGAGUUUUUAUUUGGUGGUUUGAGGGAUUGUGGACGCAGUGGUGUGGUUUCUGCGUUUAGAUUUAUUGAUCGGUUGACCUGGUUUCAUGGUAAUUGAUUGGUUCGUGGCGAUUCAGUUGUAUUCCGUGAUGUUCUUGUUUCGAUAUGAGGUUCUGUAAUGCUCUUUAACAGAGGGGUGUUAAUUUUGAGUUUUCUGCUUGAAUUGCAGUGCUUAUGGAUUGUUUUGCCAGUGAAUUCAACUCGAUGUGUUCUUCUCUGCUUUACUAAAUUGUUGCGGAUUUAUGUGGAUUCAACUCUAUGUGUUCUACUUCUUCGAUUAGCUGUGGUACUAUAGUUCCGCCUCGUGGUUUCUCACUUUCUGAUAGGUUAGGAAUUGACGCGAUUUCAGUUCUCCUUGUGUCUUGUUAUGUUGGGAUUUUCCUUCAAGGUUUUCGCAUAGAUUUUGGUGUUUGCGACUGGGAAUGGUCUCAUUGGGCUUUGUCUUGAUGAUUUGGUCAAGUUCUUGGCACUUUCUGUAAGCAUUCUCCACAAUGAAGAUCGGAGAUCAGUAGAACAGAAAACAAAUAGCUAGACAAGUCGAUAUUCUCGAUUGUAAUGUUCGACUGGUGGAUUUAGUUGUGAAUUGAUUUUCCCUUGUGAUGUUUAUGUCUUGGCUUGAGAUUUUUUUUUAUGAGGUUCAGAUUCUGAAAUGGGUUUCCACAAGGUUUUUACUUCGAUGCGUGAUUGAUAUGGGUUUCAAGUGAUUUCUCCUUAGCAAUUUGACCUUGGGGUCCAGACGUUGGUAGCCUCGAAUAGCUGCGAUGAUGUUAAACAGGUUCUUCUGUGUAACUGGAAGCUUUGGAGCAGAUCAUUUGGAUUCUCUGUAGGGUUAGUAGAUGAUCUAGCUACAUUCCGUUUGGUUUCUGUGAACAUUGUUUGAAGCUGGGAUUUGAUAUAGAAUAGCCUCUCGAGAUUAUUCGGUUUCUUUGUUGAGGAAUUUGAUCUCUGUUUUGUGUUGUUGAACCCUUACAAAUGAGUUUUAUGAUACUUGCUAGUUGUUGCAUUAGUAAAUUUGAUGUAGAUAUUUCCCCUAAUUUCUUAGGAGUUUUGGUAUUAUCGAACAAUUAGUAAUGUAGUCUAUAUUUUUUCAUGUACGAACAGAUUUCAUAUUCAUUAAGUAACCUAUGCCAUAUAUGAAUGUAGUUAGUGAAAGGUCCGGACAGGAUGUGGUGGAGUUAUACUUUGAUAUUCUAUACCAUUUAAUAGUUGUAGAUUUCUAAAGUUUAGGUUGUAUCUAUUUGUUGUAUUCAUUCUGCUAUUACACCGUGAGCUAACUUAGGUGUGGUUUUUGAUUUGUUGGGAGUUAAUUUUCAUGUGGGUUGGAACUUAGUAUAGUAUUGUAGGAUUUCAAUUUACUUAAUCUCUACACCAGGAUACAAGUUUUUGUUAGAUUCUCCUAGUAUUGCUAAUUGAUUAAAAGAUGAACUUCCAUGGUCGAUCGCUCUCUUUUGAGGAUGCAUGUUUUCAUUGUUUUCUUCAAUAUGGGAAUGGUUACAGUAUGAAUGGAAAAAAAAGGCAUGUUUAACUGAUACAGAAUAAUGAGGAUAGAUUAUGUUUUUUUUAUUAUUUCUAUUUGGCAAAUAGGAUGAGUAUGAGCAUAUGUGGUAGCAGUACGGGAUGGGUGACCCGGGAUGAGCUCCGGGGAGGGCCCAUCCAAACUUAACUAAUAAUUUAUUGUUAGCUUCGGCUAUAUGACUGACUGCAUGUUCUCUAGGAGAUACCUCUAGGUUCAUGGGACUGUUGACUGGCUCUAAAUCUGGUUACCGGAUAUAUGACAUAUUCACUCUAUUAGCUACAUAGUAUCACUUGUACAUGUUUUAUCUCUUUCUUAUAUCGUAAUUAGGAUACGUUCUGUUUUCUCUAUUUGCCUUCUAGUUGCAAUCUCUAUUACCUUAUGGAUGUCUUGUUAUACAUAAUGGAUUGUACUUGCUGGAUCGUAGACUCAUGAUGUCUACCUUACAAGUGAGGAAGAUUUUCGUGAUACGGAAGGCCCACGGACGGAGUAGACGAGGAGGCGGGAUGGACGCAUGGUACACUGUCCGUUGUCCGGGAGUGCAGUGCAUACCGGGUCUACCGCGAGAGAUUUUCGUUUCUUUGUUUUUCAGUUGGUAUCAGAGCACACUCCUAAGGGACAACAUGCGCUAGCCAUCUCGUCAAGAACUCGACUACUUCUGCCUUUAAGUUGGUCUGAUCAUAGGGUUAGCAAGAGAUUAAAGAUGGAUAUAAGAACAUGUUCAACUAGAAAGUCAGAAUAUGAUGUUUGAAGACUUCAUAUCCAUAAGAGUCUUUCCAAAGCCCACUUGGAGUUCAACCUCUUUUGGGUGAUGUAGCUUGAACAUAUGGUUAUCUUAUGACUCUUAAUACCUGUUUAGAAUUUAUGUUGGAAAUUGACCAGCUACCCACGGUACUGUAUACUAAGGAUACAGUAACAAAAGUAGGGUUUAGGAUUAUACAUAUAGUGUUCCUAAUAUCUUAUAUUAGUGAAGAAUUAUUUAGCGGAACCAGUAAAUAAAUGACCAUUGGAACGAAUUAAUGAAAACGAAAUUAAUACUAUAUUAAAAUUGAAACAUAGAUUGGUGCAAGUAUUUUCCCUAAGUAGUUACAAUUUAGGGUUAAACGGGUAGGUCAAGGCCUAAGUUUUUUGGAAAAUCGAAGGUGCGACGUUAAGGUUUUGUUCUGAGAGGUCGUCUUUCUCGGAUUUGGUGAUGUUUUGGGUCUCGGUUUUGAGUUUCUUUUCUUUAGCUCGUAGGUCACAGAAGGACUCGAUGGCAGAUUUCACCUUACUACUUGUUGUUUGGUGUUCUUGAAGGAUUUCUCUCGGUCUUAUGCUCACCUUAUUUUUGGAUCUGGAUUUCAGUUUUAUAUUAUUGCUAGAACAUUGUUUUGGUAUGGAGCUCUAGACGAAUUUGAGAUAUCAAGCAAAGGGAUAUUAGGUUGCAAGUUUUGUAGGUGUAUGUGAUUUUGAAUUCUGUUACCCUACCAUAUGAUUUAAUUGAGGAUGGAUUUGGGGAUUUAGGAUUUUUGUUGUUAGUAGGACUGAUCGAGCACGCUUUCAAUGAUUUUCUUUAGAAUGUUUAAACUGUGCAUGCUCCAAAUGAACCAGUCACAUGUGAUUGGUUUAUUGGCAUCCUGACCAAAUUGUGCUGUCUUGUGUUAAAAGUUACUUAUGUAGCAUUAGGGUUCUUUUCGCUUUACUCUAGGGUUAGUUUCAAGUUCUUGAUCUCAUUAGGAUGUGUUAAUCUUUUGUUUUCUUAUACCUGCUGUUUUUUUGUACAUGUGUAUCAUAGGUUUAAUCUAUUACAAGGAGGGUUAUAGGUACUGGAUUACUCCGUUGUGAGCAUAGCAUAGGAUUUCCACAUAGCUAUUUGUAUUACUUGCUGAUACACGUGCUUAGCUGUUGAUCCACAUGUGUUUGGAUAAAUUUAUGGCUCAAUUGGGGGUACCUUGAUCAUGUUUAACUUUGUGUAUCUUUAUAAAGCUAGUAUCAAGAUUAUCAUGCAUAUGAAUUAGUUUAGUUUAAUGUUGAUUCUACAUAACUUUAGCUAUAGAGUAGUUAGUACACAUGCUUAGUGUAAUGUUUCAAUGUUUGGUGCUUAAAGGUUGCUUAAAGAAUGAAUUAGGUUUGUGUGUUCCCAUUUGUAUGAAUUGCCAUAGCUGAACUAUACUAUGUUAAACGUACUGGUUCUAAAUGCCAUAAUGGAAACACGUGACCAUACCUCAACUGGAUAAAGGACUAUGGUUGAUAAGCUUGAAUGAUUACUGCACUGGAAUGUUAUAAAGAUGUUGUGGAGUUUUCCUAAGUAAGGGUAAUUAGAUGAAGGUGAGUUUAGGUAGUAUUGCAAGAUAGUUUACAUAUAACUCUAAGAUAUGAUAGGAUCCAUGGAGCCAACCUUAAGUGGUUGGGAUCCAUGACUUGUGGUGGUAUGUACAUGCUGGUUAUCGGGUCUUUACACGAUUACAUGCAAUUUGACAAUAUUAGAGUCUGCUUCAUGUAUGUCUAAGACAGCUUAUGGACUAAAUGUUUAGAUAGUAAGCAUAGAUGAGUAACUUGAAAAAAAAAAAUUGAUAUUUAUGAAAAUAUAUCAAAUGACUUUAACUGAUAUAAAAUAAUAAUAAUAAUAAUAAUAAUACUACUACUAAUAAUAAUAAGCUUGAAUAGUAGCUAUUUUAGAGAUCAGAAUGGUAAAGGUCUUAUGCGCAAUGCUAGCCCGAACUAUUCGGUAUGUUAAAUUUCGAGGACAAAAUUUUUAUAAGGGGGAAGAAUUGUAAGGUCCCAUGAGCGAAAUUAAGGAAAAUUAUUUAUGAAAUAUUCUAAGGUCACACAAGCGCUACUUAAGAGAUUGAUUUACAAAAAUUCAUCUACGAAUUUUGGGAAUAUUUCAAAAACUUUUAUGAACUGGUACUGUAAUGUCCUAAACUAAUUAUUUUAAUUAAAAAUAAUUAUUUAAUUAGUUCGGGUAUAAUUAGAAUGGAGUGAGUUUAAGUGGCUAGCUUUAAUUAUGUUUAAUCAAAUCAAUUGCAUGACCUAAAUAUGCAUAAAAGUUAUAAAAAUAAAAGGGAGACUUGGUGAGGUAAAUUGUAACCUUUGUACGGCUUGGAAGAGUAUUGAAUAAAUACAUAAGUUUAUUAGAUACCAAAAAUAUGGAUAAAGGUGUAAAUAAUUAAAAUAUUACCUAAUUAGAUUAUUUUUAGGAAAAGUAGAUAUGUUUCAUAGAUGAUUUAUCAGGAAUUAAAUUGAUAUGAAUUUAUGGAGUUUACUGAAAUUUUAAUGAAUUUUUAGGGAAUUAUUUUGGAUUUUAAGGGGUAUAAUUAGAUAUGAGAAAACCUCUUUAGGAAUACCCAAUCAAGUUAGGAGUUAAUUGAACUCAAUACCUAAGUUUGGGAUUUAAUUGACCUAGGUAUUUAAACCUACACUUACCGUUUCUCACGCACCGUUUCUCACGCACUCUUCCUUAAUUCGCCGACUACACGCUUCGCACGGUGAUAUACGAUGGAGCUCUUCACCGAGGAUCGGGACUUCGGCCGGUCAACGUCCCUACGCCGGCGAGCUAAGGGGGACAUGGCAACUGGGCACAAGGACCUUCGCAUGCUCCUAAUCGGCGGUAUUGCACGGUCUAGGGAUUUCAGCGGCGACUUGAGGUGGGAAAGGCAAGUACUUCUACUAUGUAGGUAUGACUUCUAUGAGGUAAGGUUUAGGAACUAGUAGAAGUCGAUCGUUCAUUUCCGAAGAUUGAAUGUCUGUGAAUGGAUUUGGGAUUCCUUUUGGUCAUUGUUCCAUGGUGUUGUUCUGUGUCCCUGCGAAUUUCAUGUUUGUCUUAAUGCUUGAAUGAGAUGCUCAAUGGUCGAAUGAAUUGUGAUGCGAAUUUUUUCCGGAAUGCCUGGUUUCGUCUCGUGAUGUUCUGGUUUCCGAUCCGGAUCUGAGCGCUCAUGAGUUGGUUCUGGUUUCGAUCGAGUUUUAUUUGGUGGUUUGAUGAGGGAUUGUGGAUGCAGUGGUGUGGUUUCUGCGUUUAGAUUUCUUGAUUGGUUGACCUAGUUUUAUGGUAAUUGAUUGGUUUGUGGCGAUUCAGUUGUAUUCCGUGAUGUUCUUGUUUCGAUAUGAGGUUCUGUAAUGCUCUUUAAUCGAGGGGUGUUAAUUUUGAGUUUUCUGCUUGAAUUGCAGUGCUUAUGGAUUGUUUUGCCGGUGAAUUCAACUCGAUGUGUUCUGCUAUGCUUUACUAAAUUGCUACGGAUUUAUGUGGAUUCAAUUCGAUGUGUUCUACUUCUUCGAUUAGCUGUGGUACUAUAGUUUCGCCUCGUUGUUUCUUAGUUUCUGAUAGGUUAGGAAUUGACGCGAUUUCAGUUCUCCCUGUGUUUUGUUAUGUUGGGAUUUUCCUUCAAGGUUUUCACACAGAUUUUGGUGUUUGCAACUGGGAAUGGUCUCAUUGGGGCUUUGUCUUGAUGAUUUGGUCAAGUUCUUGGCAGUUUCUGUAAGCAUUCUCCACAAUGAAGAUCGGAGAUCAGUAGAACAAAAAACAAAUAGCUAUAGAAAUCGAUAUUCUCGAUUGUAAUGUUCGACUGGUGGAUUUAGUUGCGAAUUGAUUUUCCCUUGUGAUGUUUAUGUCUUGGCUUGAGAUUUUUUUUUUAUAAGGUUCAGAUUCUGAAAUGGGUUUCCAUAAGGUUUUUACUUCGAUGCGUGAUUGAAAUGAGUUUCGAUUGAUUUCUCCUUAGCAAUUUGACUCUAAUAGCUGCGAUGAUGUUAAACAGGUUCUUUUGUGUAACUGGAAGCUUUGGAAUAGAUUGUUUGGAUUCUCUGUAGGACUCAUGAUGUCUACAUUACUGGUGAGGAAGAUUUUCGUGAUACGGAAGGCCCACGGACGGAGUAGACGAGGAGGCGGGAUGGACGCAUUGUACUGUCCGUUGUUCGGGAGUGCAGUGCACACUGGCUCUACCGCGAGAGAUUUUCGUUUCUUUGUUUUUUGGAUGGGAAAUGUUGAGGAGUUAUUGUUCUUAUUGAUAAACAUUUAUUGAUACAGUCAUGUCUAUUGGUUAUGAUAGUUCCCUUAUGGUACUAUAAUAUGAUUAUUCAAAUCGUAGUUGUUGAGAGAGAUUGGUAAAAUAAA